rnacentral:tRNA from 1 species
GCGCCCGUAGCUCAGUUGGAUAGAGCAACGGACUUCUAAUCCGUAGGUCGCAGGUUCGAAUCCUGCCGGGCGUG